CAAAGCCAUUUUGGGAGGAAAAAAUGAAAGUGAGUUAGUUUCUUCGUGUAUUUUUCAGCUGUUUAAAUUAUGGUAGACUGAUGCUAUGCACCAGGAUGCCGGAACAAAUGAGGAGAUGGGAAGAGGAGAGCAUUUUACCGCAUUCCCAAAGAAGCCAGGACUUUCAAUCGAAGCAGAAGGAAUACUUAAAGGAAGAUCUCCAUCGAGACAGAGAGACUUUUAAAACUGAAGAAAGAUAAGGAAGACUUCUAUAAACAAGUUAUAGAUGCUUUUGUUCAAAAGGAGCUGCGUAUGGACUUCAUUUAUAAGUAAAGGAUUCACCCCACUUCUGUCCAAGCAACGGAUCUCACAGACCUGAAGAGAUGUAUGGAGACAGCUGAAGCUCUGACAUGAGGACAUCGGGAAGACCAUCCUGCACCAUCUGGCCAUACCAACAAACCUUUGUCCGAUCCUGAAUCUGAUUUUUUGGCUUCAGAUCUGAACAGAUUUCGAGUCCCAUGACAACAUAUUAUGGAACUGAAAAUGUUUUUAUAGCAAGUAAUUAAAUUAAACACUAACACACUCUUACAAAGUUGAUUUAAUUAAUUUUUAUUUAUUUUUAGUGUUGGUGUAGAUCAGAUGAUGUAUUACAUUUGUGGUAUUGAAUGAUACAUCAUUUAUUUUUAACAAAAUAAAGUUGCAAUUGCAUUUUAACUAAACAAAAGUAAAGAUGCAUAUAGGCUCCCACUUAAAGAGGUCAUGUUAUGAUUUUUUCCCCUAUAAGACUUCUUUGUAGUAUACAGAGCAUGUAAUGGUGGUUCUUUGAUCAAAAUUUAGCAUAGAUUUUGUUUUACAGACCAUCUUCAAGCCGCUUUCUGACCAUCUCAGGAUGCACUGUUUUGUGGGCAGUCUUAUUUACAUGCCGAUGCCCCCUUUGACUGCAUUUCCACUCUGUCAGCCAUGUUGUAGUUUUUAGUGCUUCUAUAUUGAGUCUACUGAGUUAGAAAGAACUAUAUGCAAAUUUGUUUAGAAACGGCAACAGCGGAUGAUUUUAUCAUGCAUGUGCAUGUACGAGCCAGUCUGCCCCAAAACAAGAGGAUAGAGAACAAGAAGGAAAUUAAUGACUACAACUAUGGGCUACAACUAAAAAAAAUUGCAAACUCGUGCAAAGCUCUUCCAGCAAACCUCUAUCAUAUAUGGUGAUAUCUAUUGACGCAACUGAAGGCUAGUGUAUUCUCUCACGCCAUGUCGUUUGCGUCCCCUCUGACAGCAUUUUGAUUCGUUUCUAGCUCUUCCGCGGGAGCUGGUGCAUUACUCCUCCAAAAUACUAAGGGCUUGGGUCUCCUUAAAGAGCAACCAUAGCUGUCAUGAUCCGCUGCCCGGAUAAUGUCUUUAGUUUAGAAUUUAUUUUUGAAAUUACUUUUUGGUUUAUUGAGCGCCGUUCUACACACAUGCUCUCGUUUAGUAAGUAGUGUCCCCACCAGCUGUUUUUCGUUAAUCACGGCCCCUUGUAUGCCCAGUCCUGCCACUCACUCAGCACGGGAAUUUUUGUUACUUAUGUUCGGUGAAGCCUCUCUCAACGACAGUAGGUUUGUAUAGUAUGCUAUCUCCUCCCUACUUCCUUUCUUUGCCUGUCUUUCCGCAUCCUGGGGAACAGGACCUCGCUACCGUGCGACCCGAGCAUAACAUAAAGUACCCGUUGAACAAAGUGUUCUUUUCCAGGAAAGACAAGAGAAGGAUCUGGAGGGAGAUGAAGGCUGACUCCCUCUCGCCUUGGCUGUCGUCGGAAGAAGAGGAGCUUGAGGAAGGUCUCCCUUCCGUUGCGAUGACGGCGUGGGAGUGGCUCAUGGCGAAGGUGAUGGAAGCAGAAAGCCACUGCCUUUCCCGGCUCUCAACACACACAGAGAUCGUCUCCAGCGCUCAUUCUGAACGCGCUGCCUCUUCGCCAGAUCCAAACAGCUGCUUCUGCCUCGCCAAUUCAGCCCGAGGACGGUAUGAUAAACACACACCUUGCUUCUGUGUACAUGGCCUGGGGUGUCAUCCAGCGUAGUCAAGGCUCAGACCCGUCACAGUCCGAUGACAUCCCACCGCCAGCUCCGGAUGCGUGUUCAUGCAGGUGCGGGCGACAUGCGUGUGCACGUCAUUUCACACAGAACUUCUUGUUUUCCUGAUCGCAUGAGUCAGCCCCCACUCUGAGACAUUAAUCCUACCAUUGAUGACUAUAUGGACAUUGUUGAAGUGGCUAAAGCAGCUCGUCAGCAUCAACCGAAUGUCAAUAAAUCUCCUGUUGCUGACUUUAUGGACAUAUCUACAAUUAACGAAGCCAGUCAGCGUCAAGCUCCGCCCCCUACGACUCAAGCUCCGCUCACCUCACCCACCCUGUCUGUCAAGAUUCAAGCUCCUGCACUCCCUGAUACAGUCGUGUGUUUUGUUGUUUUGAGUUUUGUAUUUUUAUUCUUGUAUUUACUUUCUAGUGUAUUGAGCGCCGUUGUCCAGACCUGCCCUCAUUUAGUGAUUAGUGUCCCCACCGGCUGUUUUCUGUUAAUCACGGCCCCUUGUAUACCCAGUCUUGCCACUCACUCAGCACGGGUACUUUGUUCGCUAUUAGCGACAACUUAUCUCUCUCAAUGACAGUAGGUUUGUAUAGUAUGCUGGCUCCUCCUUACUCCCUUUCUUUGUA